UACGGGGGGGAGCAAGCGUUGUUCGGAUUUACUGGGCGUAAAGCGCGCGUAGGCGGCUUUGUAAGUUAGAGGUGAAAGCCCGGGGCUCAACCCCGGAACUGCCUUUAAGACUGCAUCGCUUGAAUCCGGGAGAGGUGAGUGGAAUUCCGAGUGUAGAGGUGAAAUUCGUAGAUAUUCGGAAGAACACCAGUGGCGAAGGCGGCUCACUGGACCGGCAUUGACGCUGAUGUGCGAAAGCGUGGGGAGCAAAACAGG
rnacentral:rRNA from 1 species